GUGGCAUCAAACACAGAUGUAAGCUCAGUACAAAAGGUGACAUAAGAUGCCGUCUAAUGAACGUUGGACUAGUCCUCAAUGAUGAGAUGGGAGCUUAAAGGGAGUGAGAUCUCCUACGUGCUGAGAGUAGGAGAAGAAUUCAUGAAGUGUGACCUUGAUUGGGGUGGCAGCACCUGAAGAGGAGAGGACAGGUAGUGGGGAGCCACGUUGUUUUGCAAAGAUCACUGGGAAAACUGUGGACUGGAGAAGGAGGAGGCUCAAGCCAGAGAGACCCCAGCAGAGGCUGUUAGAAAUAUUUGUGUUUGAAGGAGAUUAUCGACAGGAGGGAUAGAGAAGAGGAUCCACUGCAGAGGUUAAGUGUAACGGCCCAGGCCUCUGGAGGGAGGAGGUGAAAUGGGUCCGGGCCCUUCUCUCUGUGCGGAUGAUAUCUUCUUCCUUGAGGUCAGGGACACAGAGGGCGUGUGCGCUUGAUGUCGAGUUGAGGUAAGGCGAUGAAAUAAUUUAUGAUCUGAACCAAGACACUUCUGAGAGUGAAAGAGACACUAUCAAUAUUGAACUUGGCCACCAUAAGGUCCCCCUUGGUUGAGCUCCCUCUAGUCUAUGGAGCUUUCUUAGUUGGAAAAUUAUUUUAGAGCCCGUGGAGGGUUGGGCAUGUGGGCGUUGAGGCUGUUUCUGUUCAAAACUUUUCUCGCCCACCAGUUACAAGCUGAAGAAAGGCAGGCAAGAGAAGCCAGGGCUGGGGCUGUAGCUCAGUGGCAGAGUGCUUGCCCUGCAUGUACCAGGCCUUGGGUUCAAUCCCCAGCACCUCAAGCAAAGAAAGAUUGUUACAUCCACUGAGAGUGUGGCUUCUGGGCUUGUCACUCUGAGGGCAUUUCAGGUAUGGAAUUCCCCAGAAGGACCCCCCCCCCGCCCCCGCCAUCCUCCAAGAGUAGAGAAACCUGAGGAGUUGCUGGGGAUUUGGAGCAGAUUUUCUAAUGUCUGCUCACAUGGUUGCUGGUGAGCAGCUCCCCUGGGCGACGGCAGCUUUCUUCCCUGGAAGGCCAGCAGGACAGUGCCAGGACACUCAGGGACAGGCCCAGUGCUGCUGGAUCUCCCUUCCCCUCAGGCCUUACUCCAGUGAGGUACACUCCAGUCUGGGACUACGAGAGAAUGAGUGAUCCUGAAACCUCGAGACGAACAGCAAAGAAACCACAGGACUCCCUGACAGCCACCUGAAAGACGCCAUCUUUUCCGGCUGAGACGCCUGGUCACUCAUAGAUGCUAAGAAGUCCUGUGCCCUUUCUCCACCUGGCCUGAGCCUUCCCUGACCUCACCCCCAGGCUUUCCUCUCUCUGGCCCGACUGUUCUGUGGGUCAGUCUUGCCCUGGUCUCUUUGGGGUGAGGGCUUCUCCCUAUCCAUCACGGUGACUGUCCUAAGCCUGAGGACGCAGGAGACAGUGAAUUAAUACCCAACACUGAUCUCACUUGCUUCUGGGAAUAGCCUGAUUUCUGCCCCGCGUGGGCUAUUUACAGUGUUUCUCACCAAU
ensembl:lncRNA